GAUGAACGCUGGCGGCGUGCCUAAUACAUGCAAGUCGAACGCAUAGCGAAAGGUGCUUGCGCCUUUCAAGUGAGUGGCGAACGGGUGAGUAACACGUGGACAACCUGCCUCAAGGCUGGGGAUAACAUUUGGAAACAGAUGCUAAUACCGAAUAAAACUUAGUGUCGCAUGACACAAAGUUAAAAGGCGCUUCGGCGUCACCUAGAGAUGGAUCCGCGGUGCAUUAGUUAGUUGGUGGGGUAAAGGCCUACCAAGACAAUGAUGCAUAGCCGAGUUGAGAGGCUGAUCGGCCACAUUGGGACUGAGACACGGCCCAAACUCCUACGGGAGGCGGCAGUAGGGAAUCUUCCACAAUGGGCGAAAGCCUGAUGGAGCAACGCCGCGUGUGUGAUGAAGGCUUUCGGGUCGUAAAGCACUGUUGUAUGGGAAGAACAGCUAGAAUAGGAAAUGAUUUUAGUUUGACGGUACCAUACCAGAAAGGGACGGCUAAAUACGUG
rnacentral:rRNA from 1 species